rnacentral:misc_RNA from 1 species
UUCCAGCUCAUCGGCCGCGCUCGAUCAGGGCUCGCAGCAAGGUCGGCGGCACCCCUGCCCGGCCAGGGCAGCGUGCAAGGCGGCUCCACCGCCACCGAAAGCUGCACCGUCGAUGCCGCCAGCCGCGAAAGCUGCAACGCCCUGUCCUCCGCUCAACAAGACCUGGCAGCCCAUCUUCCAGCAGGCCGGCGCCACCUUCAGCCGCCCCAAGCUGGUGUUCUAUUCCCAGCAGGGCCGCUCGGGCUGCCGGCUCGGCGCAAAGCGCUAUGGGGCCGUUUUAUUUGUCCUUCCGACAACGGCAUCUACCUCGACACCGAUUUCUACCGGACAAUGGAACAGCAGCUCGGCGCUACCGGGGCGUUUGCGCGCGAUUACGUGAUCGCCCACGAAUACGGCCACCAUGUCCAGAACAUCACCGGCCUGUCGGAUCAGGUCCGCUCGGCGCGGGAACGCAACCCCGAAGCGCCAAUGCCCUGUCGGUAAAGCUUGAACUCCAGGCCGAUUGCUACGGCCGGGGUCUGGGCCCGCCAAGAACCGCGACCGGCUGGAACCGGGCGACAUGGAAAGCGGGCUCAACGCCGCGCACCAGAUCGGCGACGACACCCUGAUGAAAAACGCCGGCCAGCGCCCGGUCGAGGAAUCGUUCACCCACGGCUCCAGCGCCCAGCGCAUGGAAUGGCUGCGCAAGGGCAUGGAAAGCGGAAACGAGGAUGCCUGCAACACGUUUGAAUAGGCGAAAAGCCCCUCCGGGCUUUCCGUACCAAUCACGAUCUUCGGGAACCGGCGCACCAUCCAGCCGUAUGCGGGGGAUGGUGCGCAAACCCUUUCCCCUCGCGCUGCUGGCCCUGGCCGCAGCCCCCGCCCUCGCUCAAUCCGAACCGCAGAAGCCGAUCACCCAGCGCGAACCCAACGCGGUGGACGUGGUCGCCACGCCGGUAACCGACCUCAACCUGCGCAAGGGCGAAAUCCCGCCGAUCCUGAUCAAGGCCCAGCAGGACCCCUACAUGCUGGUCGGGCUCAACCGCUGCCCGGCGCUCGCCGC